CUCAGUUGAGUCUUACAUCAAGAUUUCACUCUGUUACCGCCAACCAACAGAGAGCUCUGUUGCUAGACCUCUAGACCUAUAGUAUUAUUCAAGCCUUGGAUAAGCUCCUCUCGUAGGACUGAAGCUGGAAAUUCAAGCGCAAGGUGGCAAGGUUUUGUGGCCUCCUAUUGCUUGCUCUGAUCUUCGCGACAGGGGUUCGAGUCGACGCUGAAGAAAAAGGCGUCUUCAGGACAUCUGGUGACGCGAAAGUGAGCAUCACCCUCCCGACGGAGGAGUCUACCUCGACGCUGCUCUUCUGGGCAGAGUCUCCCAACACGACGGCCAUUUUGAAUACAUUCGUCCAAUUUCCUUACCAAUUCGGUGUCAGAGUCAGUCAGACCCACAUCUGGCAGAUUGCUUAUCUGUAUCAGCCGGCAUCGUCACCCACGAACCGGUCUUCUAUCGGUGUGCCCUCCUGCAUGAAGUACAGGACGUCCACUGGAUGUUCUGUGGCAUCCACGCUUGUAAACUCCAACCGCCGUCAGCCACUUCCUCCGGAACUCCCACUGGCUACCUGUUCGAAGCCCUCAUCGGGGUCUCCGCCCUUUGCGUGCUCCUGAUGGUCGCCAUUGUGGCCCUUCUGGUCCCCCGCCGUCGGCAGAAAAAGGAGGAAAAUCCCUACGAGAAUUAAAACUCUUUUGCAGGGGGCUGAGCAAGAUGGAGUUCCUCACUUCUCCUCCUGUAGGUUAUGUGACGUACCCAACGCCAACACCCUGGAAUACUAUAGCCUGGAAUGUCCACUUGUUAGUGACAUAUUACCCCAAAGACUCACAGUAGUUGAUAUGUGUAUGUAAAAAAUUAUUGACAGAUAAUAAUUUGCUCGAUUUGAUCCUCAUGCGCCAUCCUCACUUUGGUGGAUACUGAAUAAUCAGCUGUUUUGUAAUACUAAUUAAAGAUAGGUACAACCUACCUACGAAAUCAAACUAAAUUUAAUUUGUAUUCCAUAUGAAUUCAUUUGUAUAACUUUAAUAUAUAGAAAUGAGCAAUAUUAUUUUCAAUAUGUACUAAAUAUCUGUCUAUACUUUAUUUUGUAUUCCUUUGUGUAACCUUCAUUAUGUGCUGUAGAUGUAAACAAUACUGUUUUGAUAUGUACUUAAAUGUCUGUAUAUACUUUAUUUUUUUAUUUUGUUUUUUCUUUAGGCAUAACUUAAUUACAAUGUAGAUGUAAACAAUAUUACUGUAUUACCAUGUACUCAAAUGUCUGACGCCAAUGGGCGCAAUAAAUUGAUUAAAACAAAAAAAUCUAUCUGUCCAGAUUCCGUCAGCUAGGCCUAGGCAUUAUUAUUUUUAGAUUAAGAUGAAUGAUAAUAAGCAUUGUUAUGUCU